rnacentral:rRNA from 1 species
AGAGUUUGAUCAUGGCUCAGGAUGAACGCUAGCGGCGGGCUUAAUACAUGCAAGUCGAGGGGCAGCAUAAUACUUCGGUAUUGAUGGCGACCGGCGAACGGGUGAGUAACGCGUAUGUAACCUACCUACUACAGAGGGAUAGCCCAUGGAAACGUGGAUUAAUACUUUAUAGUACAUUUAAACUUCAUGGUUAAAAUGUUAAAGAUUUAUCGGUAGUAGAUGGACAUGCGUCUGAUUAGGUAGUUGGUGAGGUAAAGGCUCACCAAGCCAUCGAUCAGUAGGGGGUUUGAGAGGAUUAUCCCCCACACUGGAACUGAGACACGGUCCAGACUCCUACGGGAGGCAGCAGUAGGGAAUAUUGGUCAAUGGAGGCAACUCUGAACCAGCCACGCCGCGUGUAGGAAGAAUGUCCUUAGGAUUGUAAACUACUUUUAUCAGGGAAGAAUGACGAGUAUGCGUACUCGGAGAGACGGUACCUGAAGAAUAAGCACCGGCUAACUACGUGCCAGCAGCCGCGGUAAUACGUAGGGUGCAAGCGUUAUCCGGAAUUACUGGGUUUAAAGGGUGUGUAGGCGGUUUUUUAAGUCUGUGGUGAAAGGUUACAGCUCAACUGUAAAAGUGCCAUGGAUACUGGAAGACUUGAGUAUUAUAAAGGAAGGUGGAAUUCGUGGUGUAGCGGUGAAAUGCAUAGAUACCACGAGGAAGGCCGAUUGCGAAGGCAGCUUUCUGGAUAAUAACUGACGCUAAAACACGAAAGCGUGGGGAGCGAACAGGAUUAGAUACCCUGGUAGUCCAC